rnacentral:misc_RNA from 1 species
GUGAGUCAUCGAAUCUUUGAACGCACAUUGCGCCCCUUGGUAUUCCGGGGGGCAUGCCUGUUCGAGCGUCAUUACAACCCUCAAGCUCUGCUUGGAAUUGGGCACCGUCCUCACUGCGGACGCGCCUCAAAGACCUCGGCGGUGGCUGUUCAGCCCUCAAGCGUAGUAGAAUACACCUCGCUUUGGAGCGGUUGGCGUCGCCCGCCGGACGAACCUUCUGAACUUUUCUCAAGGUUGACCUCGGAUCAGGUAGGGAUACCCGCUGAACUUAAGCAUAUCAAUAAGCGGAGGA